rnacentral:sRNA from 1 species
UAUGAAAAGCAGCUGUUACAUGAAAAUACAAAAGCUAACACCAAAAUGGAUUAAAAAGACAGAGUUUCAAGGCAGCCGCCAGUGUUCAGUUACAGAAAAACACCAAGAAAAGAUCAAUUGUCGGUUUCAUCCUCAUCGGAGAGCUACGAUGAAACCAACACCCUUCCUUUAAAUUUGUUAAGGAGGCAACAUGCUGGCAUGGGAUUGAGUGGGUCUGGCUGGACAGUUAAACAAGUGACAGUGGGUUUAGAAGAAAUUAGUACAAAUUAGUCUGCCAAUUGUGAACGGAUACAGAUAUCUUCAAUGAUAACACAUAACCAAAUGGAAAGCUACCUUAGCCUCACAUCAGUGGUCGCAGCAAUUUGUCUUGCCACAAUAUCCAGAAGAAUUAGGUGAUUAGUCCAAGGUUUCUUUUUCAGCACACCAAGUUCUGACGACAAGGGACUUGAGAACGUUGUAGCAGUUGUAGUCCUAUGCAGCCUUCGGAAUGCAUGCUGGUGCUGGCGAAUGGAAAUUGUCCAACGGAAGUAUUGGGAGGAGUAGUCACUAUGCGUCUUGCCUACCGAUGAGAAAAGGGUGAUCGAUCUGGACAACUCCUCUUGCUCGUGUCCUUUUCAGGUUUGAGUAGCGGGAUCACACUGCCUAUCUUCCAAAUAUCGGGUACUAUAAUAGUAUUCAGAUAGGCUUAGGACAGUUGUAUGGUUCUCGACUCCAGGCAGAUUCAGAUUCUUCAGCAUCUGUGUAGGGAUUCCGUGUGGGACCAGCGCCUUGCAUGACUUGUCGCCACGGAUGACAUUCGUAGCUUCGUGCACGGUAAAUUGUGAUGACUGUCCAGUGGCAUGGAGAUCAAGGAUAUGACGAAUGGCUUCCCUUCUAGCCUUUUCACUCUCGGGUCAAUAAAUUGCAGGCAUUUUUUAUUUUAAAACAAUGAGCAGAGAAUAUGCGAGGAAGAAGAUGGCAACAAAGAUAAUGCAAACAAAAAUCUCUUUGUUGUUAGCUUCUUCUUCGGCCAGGGUUGACGGUAUUAAGAUGACAGAUUUUUGUUUGCAUUAUCUUUUUUGUUGUCUUCUUUCUCCCAUUUUCUCUGCUCAUAUACGCACAUAUAUACUAACACGCACACAAAUUUCUUUGUGUGUGUUGGCAAAACGACGAUCAGCUUGAUGGCAAUAUGGCGGAUU